rnacentral:tRNA from 1 species
GUCCCGCUGGGCAAACGGUAAAGCCGCAGCACUCAAAAUGCUUGAUUUUCUUGGUUCGAAUCCAAGGCGGGAUA